CUUAACAGAAAUCCGUGUAAGACGCAGAAAGGCGGGAAGGCCCACAUGCUGUGAUAACCAUUAACCAGACUUCCCUGGAGCCAGUUGUCAUUCUGGGUGGUGAGGUCAGUCACACAGAGGUCAAAACAAAUUCUACGACGUCACAAUGGCUUUAGCUUCUGCGUGUGGGAAUUUCUCUGUCUCUCUCUCUCUUUCAUAUAUGCAAGCAGACCCGGAUGUCCCACAUUUCCUUUCUGGAAAGGGAUUCACGCGGACGUAGAAAGUUUUGCCCACAGAUGCCACCAUUCACCAUGAAAGUGAAUAUAUUACAAUGAAGUAUGUUAAAAGUGUGGUCUAGGUGUCACUUGAACCCAGGCAGUAUAACAAAGCAGUUGAGAAUCCGGGCUCUGGAGUCAAACUGUCUGCUUGCCUGGAGACUAAACAUCGUCUAGGGCUGAGAAGGGCUGCCCGCCACAGGGGACACAUGCUCUCCAGGUGCCACAGUCAGGGCCAUACACACGGUGGACCAGGACCAAUCGCCAUUUAUCAUUACAUGGACACUAUCUUUCUUAGAAGUGUGUUAGGAGAAACGUCAACCAUUUCUUCUAUCUAAGUCUGUACCAACACUGGGAAGAGAAAGGUAGAACGAGAGAGCCAACAAAAACAGUAACGAGCCUUUUUUCUGUGGGUAGAAAGAACGCUCCUCCAGGUUGUGCCCAUGAGGAAAGAAUACAAUCUAAUCCACUGUUGUGAAGACACCAUUUCUUUCAUUUUCAUCGCCUACUCAGGCCCUUCCAAGAGCUUGCAUUUGCCACCCUGGCUUGGUGUCUGCCUGUCCCAGAAUAUCUUCUUCAACACUCCUUGAAUGUUUUCACUGGUCUGCUUUGCUGCCUGAAAUGUGGAGAUUCAUUUGGGUUAAGAAGCAUUCCAUACUAAAGAUACAAAUCCCUCUGGGAAGGUUAGUGUGGGAGCACAGGCUUCAGUGUCAGACUGCCUGGAUUCAAAGCCCAGCUCCAUCACUGACUGUAGCAUAAUAACCUUGGGCAAGUUACCUAACCUCCCUUCAUCUCAGUUUCCUCAUUUGUGGAAUGCAAAUAAUAGCACCUCUGUCCCAGGACUGUUGAGGAUCUAAAGAGUUGACGCAUGCUUAGAAUGGUGCCAGGCACACAGGAAGCACUACUUAGGUGUCAACUCUUAUUAUGCUUAGGUGCUCACACAUCAUUUAAAUCAGAUUUCCUCCUCCCUAAUCUAGCUCCGGACUGCUCCACUGAGGGAGUGGAAGUUCGAUGGGAGGACAGGUGGGAGGUGGGGACCAGAGGAGUUGGAGGUAGGGGAUGGAGGUGGGAAAGGAGUCAGGAAAGAGAGGGCUGGGAAUGGAGAGGAUAAAGAAAAUUCAGGACGUUGUAGAGUGAGGUAAACCUGGAUGGGAUGCUACAGUUGGAGUCUUUGGGCCCCUAGAGUGAGGGGCUUUAGAAGAUGAAGAGAGGAAAAGGAAGGGAGUGAGAGGAGGCCAAAGCAAACAGCACAUAUUUCAAAGCUUUAUCUAGUGUUGACUUGCAUCCAGAAAAGGGGGAAGAAAUUCUUUUUCCUCCCUCUUACUCUUGGACUAGGAUCAUAGUUUAACUACAUUGUAAAUGAAAUAGAAUGCUCUGGACAAGCCUGAGAUCCCAACCAUCAUUUAUAACGUUUCAACAGGAAAUAUUUUCUGAGUUCCAAAUAACAGGCUUCAGUGAUCUUUUGAAAUAGGAUCCGUUUGUAAGUCGGGGCCUGCCUACUUGCUGGGGGAGGAGAAGGGGGGAGUUUGCAGCCGGGCAGGUCAGAUAGAGAGCCAGUGUCUCACAAUAGAAGAAACCAGAGCUUGUAGUGGCUGAGUCACCUGGACUAGUGACUCAGCUAGAACUAGAGCCCAAGUCCCCAGAGCGCCUCAUUUCCCGCAGAGGCUGGAUGACCACCAGCCAGUCUUUGUAAAGGAAUCCAAAUAUCAGGUAAGAGGAGGUAAAAGAGGGGAGGGAGAUGAGGAGAUCCUCAAGUUUCCUCCAAAUCCAAGACUCUGUUAUUUGACACGGCCUGGUUUUAGGCUAGACCAUAGUAAGCAUCAAUUACUUGUUUUCUUUUUCCUUUUAGGUACGGCAACAGCCUGGAUCAUAAUAAUUCCUCAUUGAUAAAGAUCAACUUGUACAAUCUGCCCUGAACUGUCAGGAAUAUUUAGCAUCUACAAGACUGUUACAAACAACUUUGCCUUUGAAGGGUGAUAGGGAGAAUCCCAAGAUCAAUGAUGUCAUUGUACUCUCUACGUGACAGCUGGGGGCUAACUAAGGGAGGUGACAUGACCAGCCACCUCACAGCAAAUUCUUGGGAAGGAUUGGGAGCUAAAUCUACGAUAUGUACGUCUAUCAGGGAACUAUCUCCUUUCACUGAUUAAUGGGGCACAAGCAUCGGUGAGACUUAUAAUCUAAUCAGUUUUAACAACACACAAGAAGAAAAUAAUAGCACCAACAGGCUCAGUAAGAGGACAGACCUUUACAAACACCUCUCUGUUGAUUUUCUCAUGCUGCAAUAGUUAUGUGAAUUGCUAAGGGAAUAAUAACAACUAAUAUUAAUUGAUCAUCUACUAUGUGCCCCACGCUGUGCUAGUCACCCUACAUCAUCUCUGAACCUUACAGUAACACUCUUAUGGGGAUUUUAUUAUCUCUGUUUUUCCUGAUGAACAGCUAAAGCUGAGGCAAUUUCAGUGACUUACCUGAGGUCCCAUAGUCAGCAAGAAGCAGAGCCGAGACUCAUCCUCAGGGACAUCUGAUGUUGCUGUCCUAUGUGAGGCAGCAGCAGCUAGGGACUUUGGGUUUGGCGUUCUGAGAGGUACACCUAUGUCAGAAAUGACCAAACUGUAAAGAAGUUGUGGUGUUGUGGAUAACUUGAUAGUAGGGUGAGAUUUCCGUGAACAACAGAAUCAUAUUAUAGUAGUAAGGGAGAUGUUUUAGUAAUAUAAACAAUACAACAAAUGGAGGAGAAAAAUCUCUUCUACCUGACUAUACUACAAACCUUUUAUCAAAAAUCUUGCCUUUAAUAAAUGUUUUAGAAUAAGCUGUCUAUUCAGGAGGCCACCAUACUGUUUUCUGUCUAUGGGGCGGUAAGUAGAGCGGUUGAGACAAUAUGCCUGAAACAAGACUGCCUCAGAUCAAACCCUGGUGGUGCCACUUCCUAGCUGUGACUUUGAACUAACUACUUAUGCUUAGUACCUACCCCACAGGGCUGCCAUGAGGGUUAAACCAUUAACUGCACGUGAAGUUCUUAGAAAGCACCUGCUCAAUGGAAAGCACUUGGUCAAUAUUUGUCCAUACUGUGUGCAGAAUAGGGUAUGAAUGGUGUGAUGAAAUCGAAAGUAUGGUCCCCACUUUCAAGGAACUUAGAAACUAGCUGGGAAGAGAGAGCAUCUGCUGAUAGUAUGUCGCAGGAACAGGUACAACAUAAAAAUGUCUCCUUUCAUCAAGGUAUACAUUGUUGUAUCAUAAUAAAAAUUAAGUAAAUAACAAUUAAGGAAAUAGAGGAAGUGAGUGGUGACCUGGAUUUUGAAGGAGUUGCUGGUUUACCACUACAAAAUUUUUAAUUAAAGACUUUUGUCAAGACUUGUCCAUUCUCAAUAUUGUCAAUCUUGAUUCCUUAUAUAUUUAAUGAUAACCUUCUCUGUGCAAGACACUGGGAUAGCGGUAACGAAGGACUACAGAUUUGAAAGAGCUCUUAUCCUCAAGGAACUUACGGU
rnacentral:lncRNA from 1 species